GUGGAAUAACCCUCCUCUCCUCUCUCUCUACUAAUAGAAACCCUAGUAAGAGGUGGAAUAACCCUCCUCUCUCUCUCUCUACUAAUAGAAACCCUAGUAAGAGGUGGAAUAACCCUCCUCUCUCUCUCUACUAAUAGAAACCCUAGUAAGAGGUGGAAUAACCCUCCUCUCUCUCUCCACUAAUAGAAACCCUAGUAAGAGGUGGAAUAACCCUCCUCUCUCUCUCUACUAAUAGAAACCCUAGUAAGAGGUGGAAUAACCCUCCUCUCUCUCUACUAAUAGAAACCCUAGUAAGAGGUGGAAUAACCCUCCUCUCUCUCUCUACUUAUAGAAACCCUAGUAAGAGGUGGAAUAACCCUCCUCUCUCUCUACUAAUAGAAACCCUAGUAAGAGGUGGAAUAACCCUCCUCUCUCUCUACUAAUAGAAACCCUAGUAAGAGGUGGAAUAACCCUCCUCUCUCUCUACUAAUAGAAACCC